UCUAGGUCACAGCACCAGGGAAGAAUAUUAGGACGGAGCCCCACUUUCCUGGGCAGAAGCGGCAGGAAAAGGAUUGGGGGUCCUGGGAGGGAGAGAGCCAGACAGGUUCUGAGUAGGACCCAGGCAAGCCCCCUGGUGGGACCAACAGCCCAGCAAAGCUCUGAGAACUGAUCUGGAGUUUGAGCCACCACCACAGAGGUGAUGGGAUUCAGGUGACCUGGCUGUCCCAACUACGCAUCAGCAUUCUCUAGAAGAUAGGACAGGACCAGAGUCUGUGCAGCAUGAUACCCACAGUGUCCAGGCUAUGAAACAAAACUACCCAACAAACAGAGCUAGGAGACAUGACCACCUCAAGAGGAAAGGCAAUGACAAGAUGGCAGCCCAGAGCAUCCCAGACACUGACCGCAGCGGUCACGGCUGCACUUUGUGAGGUAGUAUGCGCUCUACACACACACACACACACACACACUCACACACACAUACACACUCACACACAUACACACACACAUACAUACACACACUCACACACACACACACAUACACACACAUACACACACUCAUGCACACACACUCACACACACAUACACACACUCACACACACAUACACACUCACACACAUAUACACUCACACACAUACAUACACACACUCACACACACACUCACACACACAUACACACACUCAUGCACACACACUCACACACACACACACACACUCACACUGAUGAAUGAAUGCAAUGUGAAAUGAAGAAUUCUCAGCAGAGAAAUAGGAAAUAUAAGAAAUGAGUAUUUUAGAACUAAAAACCCCCACAAUAUCUGCAGUAAAAUAUUCACUGAUGAGUUCAAUAGCAGAACAGAGACAAAAGAGAAAAGCCCAUGAACUUGAAGAUCGGUACCUGAUCUGAAGAGGAGAUAGAAAGAAGUAGGUGAGCAAGCCUCAGGGGCCAGAUGCACCAUCAAAAUCCAGCCCAUGUUGGGCUCCAGAAAGAGGAGCAAGAUUGGGGCAGAAGGUUAUUUGAAAGGAUAACCCCAGAGCAUCCCCAGUGAGCGAGAAGACGUCACUUUAACAUCCAGAACUCCGUGAGGCCGGCAAGGAAAACCUCCCUCCCAAACCUCAUCAUUGAGCCACAGAAAACCUCCUGAAGGCAGCUGAGAAAACACAUGCAUUCCUUCACACAGAAGAUGUCCCCAUGACUGCAGAUUUCCUGGCAGACACGGGAGGCCCGAGGAGAGUGGAACCACCUCAGAUAACAGCUCUCAGUGUCCUAGGCUUCUGUCCCCUGCUUCUCAAGGGCUGAGUGCACAACCAAAACUCAAACACAGUAUCCUCUUCUGCUCUACAGGUCUUCAGUCGGAACCAUGUCCCUUUCAAUUUCCAUAUUGUAACGUGCAUGUCCUCUCUUAGUUUCUUUCUCUUUUAAAUACAUAUUUUUUUAAAUAUUUAUUUUUUAGUUGUAGUUGGAUACAGUAUCUUUAAUUAAUUUAUUUAUUUUUAUGUGGUGCUGAGGAUUGAACCCAGGGCCUUGCCCGAGCUAGGCAAGUGCUCACCGCUGAGCCCCAGCCCAGCCCCUCUCGUAGUUUCCUGAUCAGUCUGGUGGGGAGUUUAUUGAUCUCAAAGAACUUGAGUUGAUUGGUUUUCUAUUUAAUUGCCAUCUUCUCUGCUCUUUGGUAUUUCCUAUUUUCUGCUUGCAUUGGGUUUAAUUUACAAGGUUAUUAGGGUGGUGCUCAUGUCCUGCUCAGCACACUGAACACUUUGGGGCUGUGAGCCACUUGGUGUCUGUCACGGCCACUUGGUGUCUGUCUGUCACGGCCACUGACUCUGCUGCCCUAGGCUGGAGCCACUGUAGAGAGCGUGUGAAUGGAAAGGUGUG
rnacentral:lncRNA from 1 species